rnacentral:rRNA from 1 species
UCUCCCUUCGGGGAGAAGUAGAGUGGCGCACGGGUGAGUAACACGUGAGUAAUUUGCCUUCGGGUGGGGAAUAACAACCGGAAACGGUUGCUAAUACCGCAUAAUGCAGCGGCACCAAAUGGUGACAGUUGUUAAAGCGGGGGAUUCGCAAGAACCUCGCGCCUGAAGAGAAGCUCGCGGCGGAUUAGCUAGUUGGUAGGGUAACGGCCUACCAAGGCGACGAUCCGUAGCCGGCCUGAGAGGGCGGUCGGCCACACUGACACUGACACACGGGUCAGACUCCUACGGGAGGCAGCAGUCGGGAAUUUUGGGCAAUGGGCGAAAGCCUGACCCAGCAACGCCGCGUGAAGGAUGAAGUUUUUCGGAAUGUAAACUUCAUAAGACGGGGAAGAAUAAGUUUAGGUUAACACCCUGAACGAUGACGGUACCCGUUGUAAGCUCCGGCUAACUCCGUGCCAGCAGCCGCGGUAAUACGGGGGGAGCAAGCGUUGUUCGGAUUUACUGGGCGUAAAGGGCGCGUAGGCGGCGCAACAAGUCACUUGUGAAAUCUCCGGGCUUAACUCGGAGCGGUCAAGUGAUACUGUCGUGCUAGAGUGCGGAAGGGGCAACUGGAAUUCUCGGUGUAGCGGUGAAAUGCGUAGAUAUCGAGAGGAACACCUGCGGCGAAGGCGGGUUGCUGGGCCGACACUGACGCUGAGGCGCGAAAGCCAGGGGAGCGAACGGGAUUAGAUACCCCGGUAGUCCUGGCC